UACGUAGGGUGCGAGCGUUGUCCGGAAUUAUUGGGCGUAAAGGGCUCGUAGGCGGUUUGUCGCGUCGGGAGUGAAAACUCAGGGCUUAACCCUGAGCCUGCUUCCGAUACGGGCAGACUAGAGGUAUGCAGGGGAGAACGGAAUUCCUGGUGUAGCGGUGAAAUGCGCAGAUAUCAGGAGGAACACCGGUGGCGAAGGCGGUUCUCUGGGCCGAUACUGACGCUGAGGAGCGAAAGCGUGGGAGCGAACAGG
rnacentral:rRNA from 1 species